UACGUAGGGUGCAAGCGUUGUCCGGAAUUAUUGGGCGUAAAGAGCUCGUAGGCGGUUUGUCGCGUCUGCUGUGAAAUCCCGAGGCUCAACCUCGGGCCUGCAGUGGGUACGGGCAGACUAGAGUGCGGUAGGGGAGAUUGGAAUUCCUGGUGUAGCGGUGGAAUGCGCAGAUAUCAGGAGGAACACCGAUGGCGAAGGCAGAUCUCUGGGCCGUAACUGACGCUGAGGCGCGAAAGCAUGGGGAGCGAACAGG
rnacentral:rRNA from 1 species